rnacentral:lncRNA from 1 species
CAGAGCUGUGCGGUGAGUGUCAUUUCAUCCUGCCUCGCAUCGCCAGGAGAGCUUUCUUUUCUGUGGGCCCCCAAAGCAGAAAAAGCGGUUUCUGCAACCUGCAGCCGAUGGCAGAAACACCGAGCGUCCUCCGCCGGAGACUGCCCACCGCCGCGUCCUCCGCCCGCACUGACAUUCCUGGCACCUGGUCCCGAAGCUGCUCUACGGCCACGCAUCCUCUGCCAAGGCUGCCUGCCCAACCUUGUGCCCACGUUUGGCCUCAAAACCAUGACACCUCAGUGUGUUGUCACCGCUGCUCAUUGCAGAAAGGCCCGGCAGAUGCCAGGGUUUCAGCCAACACCGCAGUUUCAGCCACCAGUGAUGACGUUCUCAGCUCUGAGGUGCAAACCGCACUACCGCUGCUGCACCCAAGUGCGGUUCCUGCCAAGUUCCACACAGCCAAUGAAGAACUGCCUGACAGCAAUCCCUGAAUGCUCUGCAAAGAAAACGGACCACACCUCUAAGAGUCCACUGGAUCCAACUUGAGCCAUUUGAACUGACACUCUGGCCAGAGCUUCGGGUAUUGACUUCAGUCAACACAAGGACUUCAAUCAAGAUAAGGACUUCAACCCAG